UCCACUUCUUCAAGGAAGGGUCUUCCAGCUGAGCGCUUCCCUGUUUCUGUCCCUAUCUCCUUCUCUCUCCCAGAAAGUUUCUUGCCUUCUCUUGACUUACAGAAGACAUCACUUCCUUGAAGACUUGGCUCACUAUAAGCCUCCUGGCGGCUCCUUCCUGGGGCACUGGGCCAAACUCCUGACACGAUUAAGAAGAGGUUUUGGAACUGGGCCAGACUAGGAAAACAGGAAAGAUGACGAACAAAGCUUCCCUCCUUCUGAGGGUUGUUUAUUCCAGUGUUCCUUCAGUUGAGUUUUCUGGGUACACAGCAGCCCUUGGCUUUCCAUCCCAUGUGCAGCCUCUGGCCCAGCACUUAGUCCACUCUCAGUCAUAGAGCUUAUCACACAGACUUGCUCCAGUGCCCACUUGUCCAACUGCCCCAAACUCCUGGAAACCAGAAAGAACACAGAUGUAUCUCAACUGAGUGCCUACCAUAUUUCUACAGGAGGAACUGUCUUCGCAUAAAAGCCCCUCUGCAGCUCCUUAAGCUGCUCCCCAUCGCUCGAAUUACCACCUGAGCUCUGCUUCCUGUCUGAUCAGCAGCAGCAUUUGAUUCUCAUAGGAGUGCGAACUCUUGUGAACUGCGCAUAUCCUACUGAUGCUUCAAUUGCCUCAUCUUUGGUCAACAAGAGCCUCUUCAAGACAUUGGCUUCUGAGCCCUUUUGACAUGACACUAUAGCUUUAUUGCUUUCUGGAAUGAAAAAGUCUUCUUGGUUCAUCUUGUAUAUUUUUUGCUCCAGACCUUGAAUCAGCUAUUUCUCCUAGGAGCCCUGGUUCUUUUGUGGGAAAUGAGUCUGAACAUCCAUAUUCGAGAGCAUGUUCUUGCCUACAUGUGAAUGGCAAGGCUGGAACGGAAGGCGGCAGACGUGUCCAGGGCAGCACUGAUGGCCGGACUGACCCCACCUCCCCCCAUCGUCCAUACUUAGAGCCAGCGGCCACUGCAAGUGCUCAAAGUUCUGACAAUAAGCCUGAUUGGCUCAGGUGGGGUCAUGUGACCAGGACAGGUGGGACAUCUUGAAUGACAGUCCCGGAAAUAUUGCACAAAAAGAGGACGAUUUCCCAAG
rnacentral:lncRNA from 1 species